rnacentral:rRNA from 1 species
GCACAAGCAGCGGAGCGUGUGGUUUAAUUCGUUGCUACACGAAGAACCUUACCUGGGUUUGACAUAAUGGUGUAGGGAUCCGAAAGGUGACCGACCUUCGGGGAGCCAUUUACAGGUGUUGCAUGGCUGUCGUCAGCUCGUGUCGUGAGAUGUUCGGUUAAGUCCGCUAACGAGCGCAACCCUCGCUGUGUGUUAUAUGUGUCACACAGGACUGCUGGUAUUAAGCCGGAGGAAGGUGGGACGACGUCAAGUCAGCAUGACCUUUAUAUCCAGGGCUACACACACGCUACAAUGGUCAGUACAAUGGGUUGCCAAGCCGCGAGGCGGAGCCAAUCCUAAAAAGCUGGCCUCAGUUCAGAUUGCAGUCUGAAACUCGACUGCAUGAAGUCGGAGUUGCUAGUAAACGCAGGUCAGCUAUACUGCGGUGAAUACGUUCCCGGGUCUU